GACGAACGCUGGCGGCGUGCUUAACACAUGCAAGUCGAACGGAAAGGCCCUGCUUUUGUGGGGUGCUCGAGUGGCGAACGGGUGAGUAACACGUGAGUAACCUGCCCUUGACUUUGGGAUAACUUCAGGAAACUGGGGCUAAUACCGGAUAGGAGCUCCUGCUGCAUGGUGGGGGUUGGAAAGUUUCGGCGGUUGGGGAUGGACUCGCGGGUUAUCAGCUUGUUGGUGGGGUAGUGGCUUACCAAGGCUUUGACGGGUAGCCGGCCUGAGAGGGUGACCGGCCACAUUGGGACUGAGAUACGGCCCAGACUCCUACGGGAGGCAGCAGUGGGGAAUAUUGCACAAUGGGCGGAAGCCUGAUGCAGCAACGCCGCGUGCGGGAUGAAGGCCUUCGGGUUGUAAACCGCUUUCGCCUGUGACGAAGCGUGAGUGACGGUAAUGGGUAAAGAAGCACCGGCUAACUACGUG
rnacentral:rRNA from 1 species